GUUGGGUUAAGUGUCGCAACGAGCGCAACCCUCGUGUUUAGUUGCCACUAUGAGUUUGGAACCCUGAACAGACCGCCGGUGUUAAGCCGGAGGAAGGAGAGGAUGAGGCCAAGUCAUCAUGCCCCUUAUGCCCUGGGCGACACACGUGAUACAAUGGGCGGGACAAAGGGUCGCGAUCUCGCGAGGGUGAGCUAACUCCAAAAUCCCGUCCUCAGUUCGGAUUGCAGGCUGCACUCGCC
rnacentral:ncRNA from 1 species